CAGCCGCCGCGGUAAUACGAAGGGUGCAAGCGUUACUCGGAAUUACUGGGCGUAAAGCGUGUGUAGGUGGUUGUUUAAGUCUGUCGUGAAAGCCCUGGGCUCAACCUGGGAAUUGCGAUGGAUACUGGGCGACUAGAGUGCGGUAGAGGAUAGUGGAAUUUCCGGUGUAGCAGUGAUAUGCGUAGAGAUCGGAAGGAACAUCUGUGGCGAAGGCGACUAUCUGGGCCAACACUGACACUGAGACACGAAAGCGUGGGGAGCAAACAGGAUUAGAUACCCCCGUAGUCCUGUCUCUUAUACA
rnacentral:rRNA from 1 species